AUGAUGCGCGUGGGAAAUGGUUCCAAAGUCGAUGUGAUUGCGGUCGGCACGCUACCUCUACAUCUACCAUCGGGAUUAGUUUUAGACCUAAAUAAUUGUUAUUUGGUGCCAGCGUUGAGCAUGAACAUUAUAUCUGGAUCUUGUUUAAUGCGAGACGGUUAUUCAUUUAAAUCAGAGAAUAAUGGUUGUUCUAUUUAUAUGAGUAAUAUCUUUUAUGGUCAUGCACCCUUGAAGAGUGGUCUAUUUUUAUUGAAUCUCGAUAGUAGUGAUACACAUAUUCAUAGUGUUGAAACCAAAAGAUGCAGAGUUGAUAACGAUAGUGCAACUUAUUUGUGGCACUGUCGUUUAGGUCAUAUCGGUGUAAAGCGCAUGAAGAAACUCCAUACUGAUGGGCUUUUGGAAUCACUUGAUUAUGAAUCACUUGGUACUUGCGAACCGUGCCUCAUGGGCAAGAUGACUAAAAUGCCGUUCUCCGGAACUAUGGAGCGAGCAACUGAUUUGUUGGAGAUCAUACAUACUGAUGUUUGUGGUCCAAUGAAUGUUGAGGCUCACGGCGGGUAUCGUUAUUUUCUCACCUUCACAGAUGAUUUGAGCAGAUAUGGGUAUAUCUACUUAAUGAAACACAAGUCUGAAACAUUUGAAAAGUUCAAAGAAUUUCAGAGUGAAGUGGAAAAUCAUCAUAACAAGAAAAUAAAGUUUCUACGAUCUGAUCGUGGAGGAGAAUAUUUGAGUUACGAGUUUGGUCUACACUUGAAACAAUGCGGAAUAGUUUCGCAACUCACGCCACCUGGAACACCACAACGAAAUGGUGUGUCCGAACGUCGUAAUCGUACUUUACUAGAUAUGGUGCGAUCCAUGAUGUCUCUUACUGAUUUACCGCUAUCGUUUUGGGGUUAUGCUUUAGAUACGGCCGCAUUCACGUUAAAUAGGGCACCAUCAAAAUCCGUUGAGACGACGCCUUAUGAACUGUGGUUUGGCAAGAAACCAAAGUCAUCGUUUCUUAAAGUUUGGGGCUGCGAUGCUUAUGUGAAGAAACUUCAACCAGAUAAGCUCGAACCCAAAUCGGAGAAAUGUGUCUUCAUAGGAUACCCAAAAGAGACUAUUGGGUACACCUUCUAUCACAGAUCUGAGGGCAAGAUUUUCGUUGCUAAAAUCGGAUCCUUUCUAGAGAAGGAGUUUCUCUCAAAAGAAGUGAGUGGGAGGAAAGUAGAACUUGAUGAGAUAACU
rnacentral:rRNA from 1 species